UUGAAGUUUGAAAAGCCAUUAGCCAAGCAUUGGUUUGCUCACAAAAUCUACUCUCUCCUAGAUACCACUGUUCAUGUUGGGAGUAACAGGGAAAACAUCUCCAGUGGGCAGUGGUAGGACUUCCAGAGUACUGAAAACAGGAUCUCACAGCCAAGACAAUGUUUCCCAAGCAAUGGUGCACAGAUGACCUAAUCAGAAUCACUAGAUGCUGUGUGACACGCAGAUUUCUGGAACACACCCUGUAUUUGCUAAAUCUACAUGUUAAUGAUUCCCUCGGCCAUGGAUAUCAACAGAAAACUUAGCAACUGCUCUGAAGGAGAAUUCAUUGGCAUCCUACAAUGCUGCUUCUUGGCUGCAGAAGCGGCUUUUCUGCCAUUUGGGCCUGAAAUAGAAACCUCAUGCAACCUUGAGAGUAAUCACGACCAAGGAGAGAGAACGCACAUCUAUUUAUAAGGCACCUGAAGGUGAAUUCUUCUUUUGUGCUGCUGCAUCCAGGACCAGAUCAAGAGAG
rnacentral:lncRNA from 1 species